rnacentral:rRNA from 1 species
UACGGAGGGAGCUAGCGUUGUUCGGAAUUACUGGGCGUAAAGCGCGCGUAGGCGGCUUUGUAAGUUAGAGGUGAAAGCCCGGGGCUCAACCCCGGAACUGCCUUUAAGACUGCAUCGCUUGAAUCCGGGAGAGGUGAGUGGAAUUCCGAGUGUAGAGGUGAAAUUCGUAGAUAUUCGGAAGAACACCAGUGGCGAAGGCGGCUCACUGGACCGGCAUUGACGCUGAUGUGCGAAAGCGUGGGAGCAAACAGG